UACGAGGGGGGCAAGCGUUGUUCGGAAUUAUUGGGCGUAAAGGGCGCGUAGGCGGUGCGGUAAGUCACCUGUGAAACCUCUAGGCUCAACCUAGAGCCUGCAGGCGAAACUGCCGUGCCUGAGGGUGGGAGAGGUGCGUGGAAUUCCUAGUGUAGCGGUGAAAUGCGUAGAGAUUAGGAAGAACACCAGUGGCGAAGGCGGCGUUCUGGACUGCAACUGACACUGAGGAACGAAAGCCAGGGGAGCAAACGGG
rnacentral:rRNA from 1 species